UGUAAUGCUUUUGUCUAUUUCUCCUUUGGUUAUUGUCACAGUGGUCCAGGCAGAGCUGGUAUAUGCACCACACCAUUGCAUUCCCACUUGGUUAAUGUGGGGUUUGCUAAACUGUAGCUUCUUCCAUAUAACAGGAAAGUGACUAACUCACUGAUUGAUCUGGGAGUCACUAAGACUCACACCAAACCACAUGUUCAAGAUAUAAAGUCACUAAACUACUAUCAAUUUAGGUCAUAGGGAAGCGAGAGAUUGCUCUUUUUGAGCUUUCUGUUUGAUUACUCAUAAAGUGAGAGAACAGGAAGAUAAGUGCAAGUUGGGUUUUCAAGUGUGUAGUUUUGGGCUUUUGAAAACUAGGGAAUCAUGUCAGGGAAGUUAUGUGCAAGAAAAUUGAAGAGAGAUUUUGUUUAAUAAAUUGAUUGUGGGAAAUAGUAUGAUCUUCUAUCAAUUUGAUUCGAAUUUGUAGUCUUAGCUUGAAAUUCUUAAGAUCAGCUUGAAAGUUGGUUACUGAAAUUGAAGUAUGAAAAUCUCAAUUGUCUUUGAAGCUCCAAAUUUUAUUCUAUGCAUUUAUAUUAACUAGUUUCAGAUUUUGUAUUCGAUAAUUGGGUUCUCUUUUUGUGUAUAAUUUUUUUUUUUUUUUUUUAAGGGAUCUAGGCUUGUCUUUGGUGGAUCUGGGUUGUUUCUGACUAUGAUGGGGAUAUCAUCAGUAGGGGAACAUGCUAUUUAAAGAAGAAAAUUUGAACUUGCGAAGGCAAAGUAUGACAAGGUUGCAGAUGAACUUGUAGCAGAGUUUUCUGACCCUAUCAAUGGUGUUACAUCCCCUGAUCAGGAGAAAACAGAAUAUUUUGGCUACUAACAUGAUUUUGAGUAAGGCUAGUUUUUGCUUUGAAGCAAAGUUUGGUGUAGAACCUUUGUAGUUGGUUGCUAAUAUGUUUAUAGGCUAGCCUUUGUAGGUUUUGGGGUUUUAUUUUGUGAAUUAUGUAGAAUCAUGAAUGAAG